rnacentral:lncRNA from 1 species
AUUUUCGAAGAGGAGAAGUUUUAGGCAUAAUUGUGCAUAACAUGUUGGAACUCAUUAUGCAAGCUUGUACAUUGCCAAUUACACGACCAUUUCAGCUCAAUUAUGCUUCAGAUUGCAUUUGGCAUUGAAUUUGGGCCUUUUGAAUGAUCAUGCAAGCCCAUGCAAGGAGUAUCCAUUUGCCAUGCACACGGAUUGAUCACACUUGCC